AAUGAACGCUGGCGGCAUGCCUUACACAUGCAAGUCGAACGGCAGCAUGACCUAGCUUGCUAGGUUGAUGGCGAGUGGCGCACGGGUGAGUAAUGCAUCGGAACGUGCCUUUUAGUGGGGGAUAACGUAGCGAAAGUUACGCUAAUACCGCAUAUUCUCUGAGGAGGAAAGCAGGGGACCUUCGGGCCUUGCGCUAGAAGAGCGGCCGAUGUCGGAUUGGCUAGUUGGUGAGGUAAAGGCUCACCAAGGCAACGAUCCGUAGCGGGUCUGAGAGGAUGAUCCGCCACACUGGGACUGAGACAAGGCCCAGACUCCUACGGGAGGCAGCAGUGGGGAAUUUUGGACAAUGGGCGCAAGCCUGAUCCAGCCAUGCCGCGUGAGUGAAGAAGGCCUUCGGGUUGUAAAGCUCUUUCGGCUGGGAAGAAAUCGCACCCUCUAAUACAGGGUGUGGAUGACGGUACCAGCAGAAGAAGCACCGGCUAACUACGUG
rnacentral:rRNA from 1 species